AUUGAACGCUGGCGGCAUGCCUAACACAUGCAAGUCGAACGGUAACAGGCCCUUCGGGGUGCUGACGAGUGGCGGAUGGGUGAGUAAUACUUAGGAAUCUACCCUGUAGUGGGGGACAACCCGGGGAAACUCGGGCUAAUACCGCAUACGCUCUACGGGGGAAAGCGGGGGACCGCAAGGCCUCGCGCUAUUGGAUGAGCCUAAGCCCGAUUAGCUAGUUGGUGGGGUAAUAGCCUACCAAGGCAAUGAUCGGUAGCUGGUCUGAGAGGACGACCAGCCACACUGGGACUGAGACACGGCCCAGACUCCUACGGGAGGCAGCAGUGGGGAAUCUUGCGCAAUGGGCGAAAGCCUGACGCAGCGACGCCGCGUGA
rnacentral:rRNA from 1 species